CCAGAAACCAAAAUAUUUUUCCUCAAAAUUAUGGCGACGGGGGAAGCGGGAGAUGUGCCAAAUUUUUUUUCAAACACUAAGUUUACCCCCCCCCCCAGUUGGCACGGCCCUGACGGGAAGCUUGAAGGUAUCGGAAGAUAUACUUGUCUGAAUUUGGGAGAAUGCUAGCUAAAGAAAAAUAACGAAGAAGCAAAGCAUGUGGACACAUUUGUCC